rnacentral:rRNA from 1 species
AUUGAACGCUGGCGGCAUGCCUUACACAUGCAAGUCGAACGGCAGCGCGGACUUCGGUCUGGCGGCGAGUGGCGAACGGGUGAGUAAUACAUCGGAACGUACCCUGUUGUGGGGGAUAACUAGUCGAAAGAUUAGCUAAUACCGCAUACGACCUGAGGGUGAAAGUGGGGGAUCGCAAGGCCUCACGCAGCAGGAGCGGCCGAUGUCUGAUUAGCUAGUUGGUGGGGUAAAGGCCCACCAAGGCGACGAUCAGUAGCUGGUCUGAGAGGACGAUCAGCCACACUGGGACUGAGACACGGCCCAGACUCCUACGGGAGGCAGCAGUGGGGAAUUUUGGACAAUGGGGGCAACCCUGAUCCAGCAAUGCCGCGUGUGUGAAGAAGGCCUUCGGGUUGUAAAGCACUUUUGUCCGGAAAGAAAUAGCGCUGGUUAAUACCUGGCGUGGAUGACGGUACCGGAAGAAUAAGCACCGGCUAACUACGUG